UGCAAGUCGAACGGUAACAGAGAGAAGCUUGCUUCUCUGCUGACGAGUGGCGCACGGGUGAGUAAUAUAUAGUUAACGUGCCCCUAAGCCUGGGAUAGCCACUGGAAACGGUGAUUAAUACCGGAUACUCCUUCUUACUAUAAGGUAAGUUGGGAAAGGUUUUUCGCUAAGGGAUCGGACUAUAUUGUAUCAGCUAGUUGGUGAGGUAAGAGCUCACCAAGGCGAUGACACAUAGCGGGUUUGAGAGGAUGAUCCGCCACACUGGUACUGAGACACGGACCAGACUCCUACGGGAGGCAGCAGUGAGGAAUAUUGCACAAUGGGGGCAACCCUGAUGCAGCAACGCCGCGUGGAGGAUGACGCAUUUCGGUGUGUAAACUCCUUUUAUAAGAGAAGAAAAUGACGGUAUCUUAUGAAUAAGUCCCGGCUAACUCCGUGCCAGCAGCCGCGGUAAUACGGAGGGGACAAGCGUUAUUCGGAAUCACUGGGCGUAAAGGACGCGUAGGCGGGUUGGUAAGUCAGGUGUGAAAUCCUACAGCUUAACUGUAGAACUGCACUUGAAACUGCUGACCUAGAGUAUGGAAGGGGCAGGUGGAAUUAGUGGUGUAGGGGUAAAAUCCGUAGAUAUCACUAGGAAUACCGAAAGCGAAGGCGACCUGCUGGGACAUAACUGACGCUGAGGCGUGAAAGCGUGGGGAGCAAACAGGAUUAGAUACCCUGGUAGUCCACGCCCUAAACGAUGAAUGCUAGUCGUC
rnacentral:rRNA from 1 species